rnacentral:rRNA from 1 species
CACUCCUACGGGAGGCAGCAGUGGGGAAUAUUGCACAAUGGGCGCAAGCCUGAUGCAGCCAUGCCGCGUGUAUGAAGAAGGCCUUCGGGUUGUAAAGUACUUUCAGCGGGGAGGAAGGCGAUAAGGUUAAUAACCUUGUUGAUUGACGUUACCCGCAGAAGAAGCACCGGCUAACUCCGUGCCAGCAGCCGCGGUAAUACGGAGGGUGCAAGCGUUAAUCGGAAUUACUGGGCGUAAAGCGCACGCAGGCGGUCUGUCAAGUCGGAUGUGAAAUCCCCGGGCUCAACCUGGGAACUGCAUUCGAAACUGGCAGGCUAGAGUCUUGUAGAGGGGGGUAGAAUUCCAGGUGUACCGGUGAAAUGCGUAGAGAUCUGGAGGAAUACCGGUGGCGAAGGCGGCCCCCUGGACAAAGACUGACGCUCAGGUGCGAAAGCGUGGGGAGCAAACAGGAUUAGAAACCCUUGUAGUCCCAUG